GGAGAGACGAAGGAGAAAGAAGAAGAACCAGAAAAGAGGGCCUUUGCUGCCUUCUCUCUUCUCAGUCCCCUAUCUAAUUCUCAAAGCCUCGUAUUUUCUCUAUACAUUUUCUCUUUAGGAAUUUUUUUUUUCUCUCACCCUCUCCGUUUUACAAUUCGGCGUCGUUUGGAUUGCAGCCACCACUGGCCGAGCUUCGCCGCGAAUCUUGAGCUGCAAAUUCGCACAGGAGUGUUUGAAUCUUUUAGAUGAAUCCGAUUGUAUUUUGGAUCUGAAACCGUGAAAUUUGGAAAAUUUCGGCUAUUAUCUGACAGUAAUCACUGGAUUGAGUUUAUCCGCAGAGGAAAAAAUUCGAAACUUUGGUGAAAUUUGAAUUUUUAUAUUUGAUGGGGGAAGCUGACGGGGACGAGUCGGCUCCGACGAAGGGGCAAUCGGAUGCGGCACCAGCCGCUACGACGUCAUCUUCGUCUUCGAUGAGCGAUGUUCCGGCGAAGAAGCUUGCGAGGCAGCUGGAUUUCACGGGAUUUGGUGGCGCACCGGCGAGUGUGGCCGUGCCGGAGCUCCCUAAACCGCAACUGGCGACCGUGUCGGUGCAACAGAGUCAGCCAAAGCCACCUGUAGUGUCUGUGCCGGUACCCGUUCCACCGCAGCCGCCCAUAUCUUCAGUGAGGCCUGUGAAACCAGAAUCCCCAAAAUCAAGACCAAGACCCAAUGUUGAUGCAAAAGAUGGUACUCCUAAGAAGCAAAAACAGUGUAAUUGUAAACACUCUCGCUGCUUAAAGCUGUAUUGUGAGUGUUUUGCAUCUGGAAUUUACUGUGACGGUUGCAACUGUGUAAACUGUUGCAAUAAUGUUGAAAAUGAAGGUGCUAGGAGAGAUGCAGUUGAAGCUACAUUAGAGCGUAAUCCAAAUGCAUUCAGGCCAAAAAUUGCAAGUAGCCCUCAUGGACCAAGGGAUACUCGGGAGGAAGCAGGUGAGGUUCUGAUCUUGGGAAAGCACAACAAAGGAUGCCAUUGCAAGAAAUCAGGGUGCCUGAAGAAAUACUGUGAAUGCUUCCAAGCCAACAUUCUCUGCUCUGAGAACUGUAAAUGCAUAGACUGUAAGAACUUUGAGGGAAGUGAAGAGAGACAAGCUUUAUUCCAUGGGGACCAUGGAAACAACAUGGCAUAUCUUCAACAGGCAGCAAAUGCUGCCAUUACAGGAGCUAUUGGAUCCUCUGGCUAUGCUUCAUCACCCCCAAUAUCCAAGAAAAGAAAAGGUCAGGAACUCUUUGGACCGACAGCCAAGGAUCCAUCAAUUCACAGGAUUGGACAGUUCCAACAGGGAAACCAUAUCAGACCCCCUGCUCCCUCUUCUCUGGCUUCGGUCCCUGUUAAUCGUCUUGGUGGUGCUGCAGGAUUAGGGCCUUCUAAGUUUACAUACAGGUCUCUCCUAGCAGACAUCAUACAACCACAGGACUUGAAGGAGCUUUGUUCAGUUUUGGUUGUUGUAGCAGAAGAAGCUGCAAAGACACUUGCAGAACAAAGGAAUACAGCAGAGAAGCCGACAGAGACUUCCCUUGCUUCAACGACACAAGAUAGGUUGCAAAGCCAAAAGGAAUCUGAUGCUCAGAAAGCUGUGGCUGAUGAUUGUUCUAGUGCAAAUGAGGCUGAUAAAAUCAGCCCUGAUGAUUCCAGUUCAGAUGGUGCUGAUGUGCCCAAAGGGAGGCCAAUGUCUCCUGCAACUUUGGCAUUGAUGUGUGAUGAACAAGAUACAAUGUUCAUGUCAGCUGCUUCUCCUAAUGGAUUAAUGGGCAAUCGCUGCAACACAUCUUCACAGUUGCCUAAUGGACAAGGAAUGACAGAGGUCUAUGCAGAACAGGAAAGGAUUGUUUUGACGAAGUUCCGAGAUUGUCUUAAUAGGCUCAUUACUUUUGGAGAAAUAAAAGAAACAAAGUGCUCAUCAUUAGCCCGGAGUGAAGCAGAAACUCAAAAAGAGCAGCCCAGCAAUGGCAGUACAAAGGCAAGAAUGGAAACAGGAAAUCAGCAGGGACCAGUUAGCAAUGGUGUAGCAAAACCUGCUGUUCCACUCACGGCCAAGACGACAACACCACAUAUGGUUGCUGCGUUAGCCGUUGGUAAAACUCCCUCCCAUCCGGAAAAUGGAGAAAGUAGACCGAAAGAUUAAAACAGACCUGUAAAGAUUUAGCACACAAGAUUUGCCCAAGGUAUUGUUUUUCUUUGACUUGUCUACGUCUCAGCGCAAGACAACAGUACUAGGAAGUUAGGAACAACUCUUAGAGGUAUCCCAUUUUUCUCUUUUCUUCUUUUAAGGUUAUUGAUAUAUUUAUAGAUUAGUGUUUUUUUUUUUUUUGUUAGCUUUAACCAUAGUGAGGUCGAAGUGGUGUAAAAUGAAGAGCCUUGUAAUUGCACAAGAUAUCAUUUUAGAUCGUUACAUACAAAUUAACAUCAUAGUAUUGCCUA